ensembl:lncRNA
GGAAACUUAAAAUGUAUACUUAAAGAAAUGGCUAUUUGUAAAAGGCUUUUUGAAUGAACGCUCAUCUUUAAUGGACACGUUCUAACUCACGCACCCCAGUUUGAGAACUGUGUCCGCGGUGUGUGAACGAGUGACGGCUGCUUGGCGCGUUCCGCUUCCAAACCGGGUCCUGGCCGCGGCUCAGGGGAACGUUGGCCUCUCAUUAUCGGACUAAACGAAGCCACUCCGAGAAGAAACGCUAACGGACGUCGUGAGAAGCACAACGUAACCUGAAGCGUCUGAACUAAAUUAGCGAACAACGGACGCGGAAGUCAUCAAACUGGCUCGAUGUUGGUCAAUAUUAAAGAAGGCGGACUCACAUUUGCUCAUGUUUCUCAGCCAGAUCGGUGUCGCGCGCUGCACGCGCAGACAUGUUAACGUCAGCUGGUGGAAAUGAGUUAGCCUGUCAAGCUAAAAGCACACGACCGGAAGACGCUGUACUUCACAAUAAAAGCGUUGUUGAGAGUAGUGUGGCAGCCGUAGUGGCGCCCUGGGGGUCCCGCUAAGGGAUUUAUCUGAAGUCACCUGCUAAAUGGUUGAGAGGUCCUUUCCCAAUAUGCAUCCUUGUCUGGACUCGCGGUGGAGGUCCGCGCGUCCCUCCAUGGAUACGCCUCCCCACGCCAUCACUGACCCACCAGGUCACGCUGAACCACGUUGCCGCAGCAUGGCGUUCUCCUCGGCUUCUCCAGACCCUUUCACGUCCAUCACGGGUGCUCAGGGUGAACCUGCGCUCAUCUGUAAACAGUGCGCUGGCGUGCCCGUUCUGGUGCUCCAGAGCGAAUGCCAAUGUGGCUCCACGGCGCUGGGAAGCGAGCGCAGGGCCC